AUUCAUUUGGGGUGGUGGUUUUUCGAUUUUUCUGAGCUUUAAACUUUUGGUGAUGCUAGGAAAAGGAUGUGGGGACAGAGUAUGUAGUUCAGCCCAUAGCGCAACCGAAGGAUCUGACUGGAGGAAGUGAAUUUGAUGCGGGCAGUGGAGAAGAUGAAAGUGAAGGAGUUGAUGAUGAACAGGACCACCGCGGCAAUGGUGCACAUUCAGAUCAAUCAUCUUCCUCUCAGCCCAACAAGAGGAAGAGGGAUGGAGAAGACAACUCCAGGUCACCAAAACACCAUUGAUCGUUCACAUACAUGUACAUGGGCAGUAUCAAAAUAAAAGAACAUCUGUUGAGGCUGUGCAGAGUUGGAUUUGUUUCGUUAAAAAUUGUCGGCUUUUCUUCAUUGUUGGGAAUCAUUGUACCAAGGCUGCAGUUGGUGCAUCAGAAAGCAAUCAUACUCGCAAGAAAUUUUCAUGCUGCAACUUCAGAGAGAGGAGCAAAAGGGUAGAUAUAUGCUAUUUGUGACCUUCAAUGGGAGAUACUUAGCUGCUUCUCUGCAACCAAAAGGGAAACUGAAAUACUUUGCUUGGAGGGGGAAAAGGCAGAUGGACGAGCAUAAGGUAUAAGAUUUUCUUUCACGAUAAAAUCUCAGCUAAUUACAUAAAUCAAGCUAUCAAACGAGCACGGCUGCUUCUCUAUUACCAGAAGGAAAACUGAAAUAAGUUGCUGGGAGGGGAGGUGGGAUUUCAAAUGCAAAUAAGAAAGAAGCAAAUGGACACGAAUAAGGAAAAAGAGUUUCUUGCGGCAGAACGAGAGGAAGCUGAUGGGCCAUGGACAGGAGAGCAGAAAGAAAUAAAGGUUGGCACCUGACAGCCCACUGAAGUGACCUUGAUUAUCAGAAAAUUAACUUUGAAUAUUAAACCUAUGGGUGGGUGAAGUUUGGGAACCAUGACUCGGGUUGGAAGUGGGCUCAGGCCAUCUCGAGGCCCAUCGGGUUGGAUUUCGGACUCGAUCUAAAAUCAUUUUGGCCGAGAUUGGGCCAAACAAAUAAAGCCUGUUUUAUUUUCUGACAGGGUUCGGGCUGAUCUUUUGCUCGGUCUGGACCGUCAAGCUGGUUCCGAGUGCGAUACUCAACCCAAAGUUUGACCCGGAUCGGAGGGGACGUGUGAUGGGGGAGGACUGAACACCCCUUUCUGUGUUUUUUUUUUUUUUUAGGCUUCUUCGACGCUCUCCCGAGAUCUCUGGAACUUUCCGCUCUUCUCAUCAAAGCUCUCGCAGAUGCCUACUUCUCUCCGCUCUCAUCACCGCAUCAACA